rnacentral:rRNA from 1 species
GACGAACGCUGGCGGCGUGCCUAAUACAUGCAAGUUGAACGCUAAAGCUUUAACUGGUGCUUGCACCGACUUAAGUUUUUAGAGUAGCGGACGGGUGAGUAACACGUGGGUAACCUGCCCAUCAGAGGGGGAUAACACUUGGAAACAGGUGCUAAUACCGCAUAAUUCCUUUUACCGCAUGGUAAAAGGCUGAAAGGCGCUUCUGGUGUCACUGAUGGAUGGACCCGCGGUGCAUUAGCUAGUCGGUGGGGUAACGGCCUACCGAGGCGAUGAUGCAUAGCCGACCUGAGAGGGUGAUCGGCCACAUUGGGACUGAGACACGGCCCAAACUCCUACGGGAGGCAGCAGUAGGGAAUCUUCGGCAAUGGACGAAAGUCUGACCGAGCAACGCCGCGUGAGGGAUGACGGCCUUCGGGUUGUAAACCUCUUUCAGUAGGGAAGAAGCGAAAGUGACGGUACCUGCAGAAGAAGCACCGGCUAACUACGUGCCAGCCGCCGCAGUAAAAC